GGCAAUGUAGCUAAGUGGUUACAGCGAUUGACUAGAAUUCAAGAUUUAUCAAUUCCCUUCGGGGGCGUAGGUUCGAAUCCUGCCAUUGUCG